GUGCAGUUCCUGCCGGGUAACUGUCGCUUAUCAGUUCUGGUCAACCAAAGCAGAAGUCCAAGUUAAAGUCAACCAUAACGAAGAAUUCAAGACCACAUGAAGACAUGCAUUGAUCAAGGGGGAGUUGUUAAUACACUUUGAGUGAAAAGUGCAUGCCUUCCAAUUGUUAGGGUCUUUGGUGUACAUGUCUUGAAAGUUAGUCCCAAGUUUAUCCUAGGGACAACUUGUCCAAGUUUUAGGAGAACUUUUGUCAGAGUUUUAUGUGUAGAAUUGGUUUGUCCGAGGUUUAGUCCCUAGCCUAUAUAUAUGUGUGUAUUGUGUAGAUUAGGGCAACCAUAACUCUUGAAGCUUUGUGCGGCUCUCCCACUCGUUCAUCCUUCUGUGUGAAUUCUAGAGAGAGAGAGACUAUGUGUUAGUGAGAGAAAGCUAGGGUUUAGAUCUUUGUGAUCUAAACCAGCUUGUAGAUGAUGUAUACUCCUUUGGUUUGUGUAAUCUGUGAUGACUGAUUCAUAAUAAAGAGUUCAUCUUCUACAUCUUUCUAUCGUGUUCUUCAUAUUUUGUUCUUCAUGUCUUGAAUCAAGUGCAAUGUUUGAUGUUCGUCAUCGAUCCAGUGCUUUCACAGUGGUAUCAGAGCGUGGUUACCGAUUCAGAAUGGUCUAACCGCCUUCUGAAUCACCAUUGCCCUUGAUUUGAUGUUUGUUUCCGCCAAACAUCUUGAAGACUUGAAGAUUUUGAAGAAAGGUUUGAAGAAAAUGAAGCUGUUCGUGGUUGUUUUGUUCUCCAAGUUGUUGCAGAUGUUUUGGUGA
rnacentral:lncRNA from 1 species